rnacentral:rRNA from 1 species
ACUCAAAUGAAUAGACGGGGACUCACACAAGCGGUGGACCAUGUGGCUUAAUUCGACAACAAACGAAGAACCUUACCAGGACUAGAAACCCAACUGACCAUCCUAUGAAAGUAGGACUUCGCAAGACAGUUGGGCAGGUGCUGCAUGGUUGUCGUCAGUUCGUGUCUUGAGACGUACCGUUAAUUCGGGUAACGAACGUAACCCUUGCUCUGUGUUUUACAUGUCACAGAGGACUGCCCGAGAUAAUUGGGAGGAAGGUGAGGAUGACGCCAAAUCAGCAUGGCCCUUGAUGUCCUGGGCUGCACACGUGGUACAAUGGUAGGUACAAUGGGAAGCAAAACCGUAAGGUGAAGCUAAUCUCACCAAAGCCUACCUCAGUUCGGAUUGAGGGCUGAAACUCGCCCUCAUGAAGCUGGAAUCGCUAGUAAUCGCCAAUCAGCUACGUGGCGAUGAAUACGUUCCUGAGUCUUGUACACACCGCCCGU